rnacentral:rRNA from 1 species
GACGAACCGUGCGAACGUUGUUCGGAUUCACUGGGCUUAAAGGGCGCGUAGGCGGCUUGCCAAGUCAGGGGUGAAAUCUUUCGGCUCAACCGGAAAACAGCUUCUGAUACUGGCGGGCUUGAGGGAGGUAGGGGCGGAUGGAACUUCCGGUGGAGCGGUGAAAUGCGUAGAUAUCGGAAGGAACACCGGUGGCGAAGGCGGUUCUCUGGGCCUUACCUGACGCUGAGGAGCGAAAGCGUGGGGAGCGAACAGG